CAAAUUUAGAAUUAAGGUUCUUCCCUAGUGUAUCUACUUCCUUUUGAAAUUUUAUAAACAAGAUUUUAUACACAAGAGGUAGCAGAGGAAAAUUCCAGUCUGCUUGUUCCAAGCUCAGAAGGUAACUGCACACACCUCGAUGUUAGCAGGGAAGGUGGGGCAGGACAGGGUAAGUUUGAUGAUAUGGCGCUCUAGUUCCUAAAACUGAUUGUAGUUGUCAGUGACCGUGUGAGGACUCCAGGAGACGUCGUGGUGAGAUGCCCGCUGGGAUGCUUGUUUUCUUUCCCAGGAUGCCUUCAACGGGCAGAAUCGGCCAUCCUAAGAUCAGCCUCACUAAGGGAGCUUCUUGAGAACACACAGCAUUAUUGAGUUAAUUGUGCAAUUCCUGCUCUGUUUGCAGACCAUUUUGAAAGGUUUAUAAAAACAUCUUCAUCCAAAAAAUUGGCAGUAAAAAUGACAACUCUUCCAAGAAAUGUGAAUCCACAUAUAGACCACGCUCCCGGGACAGCUGAUCCACAUGCCGGAGUUCUCCCACUGCCAAACAGCUCCCAAACCUUCUAGUGGCCUAAAAAUGCUUUCCUUGAGAAAUACAUGAUCCGCCCAAGUCACAGCAGCUUUCCCAGUCCAAUCUCCAGGCUCUUCCAAAGGGUUCGAGAUUCUGAUUCCAAGAAGGUGCUGAGCAUCCAGUAUUGUGUCUUGACUCCUCUCAGGCUGGGCACGUUCCUCUAGGGAUCAACAUCAUCAAGGUCACUUCUCAACUCACCAAUCAUCAUGGGAGAUUCUGAACCCUGCAGAAAAGAAAAGGAAGUUAAAGUUCAUACGGUUAGAGAAAAGGUUUUCUAUGCUGACUUGUGUUCUGCAAUUUAAACAUGUCUUCAUCUGGCAACUUAAUGCAAUGUUUAUCAAAG
rnacentral:lncRNA from 1 species